rnacentral:rRNA from 1 species
GAGGAAUAUUGGUCAAUGGGCGAGAGCCUGAACCAGCCAAGUAGCGUGCAGGAUGACGGCCCUAUGGGUUGUAAACUGCUUUUGUAUGGGGAUAAAGUCAAUCACGUGUGAUUGUUUGCAGGUACCAUACGAAUAAGGACCGGCUAAUUCCGUGCCAGCAGCCGCGGUAAUACGGAAGGUCCAGGCGUUAUCCGGAUUUAUUGGGUUUAAAGGGAGCGUAGGCCGGAGAUUAAGUGUGUUGUGAAAUGUAGACGCUCAACGUCUGACUUGCAGCGCAUACUGGUUUCCUUGAGUACGCACAACGUUGGCGGAAUUCGUCGUGUAGCGGUGAAAUGCUUAGAUAUGACGAAGAACUCCGAUUGCGAAGGCAGCUGACGGGAGCGCAACUGACGCUUAAGCUCGAAGGUGCGGGUAUCAAACAGGAUUAGAUACCCUGGUAGUCCGCACAGUAAACGAUGGAUGCCCGCUGUUGGUACCUGGUAUCAGCGGCUAAGCGAAAGCAUUAAGCAUCCCACCUGGGGAGUACGCCGGCAACGGUG